rnacentral:rRNA from 1 species
GACGGAGGAUGCAAGCGUUAUCCGGAAUGAUUGGGCGUAAAGCGUCUGCAGGUGGCCGUUCAAGUCUGCUGUCAAAGACCGGGGCUUAACUUCGGAAAGGCAGUGGAAACUGAACAGCUAGAGUAUGGUAGGGGCAGAGGGAAUUCCUGGUGUAGCGGUGAAAUGCGUAGAGAUCAGGAAGAACAUCGGUGGCGAAGGCGCUCUGCUGGACCAGAACUGACACUCAGGGACGAAAGCGAGGGGAGCGAAUGGG